CGCCGCCAACGCUGCUCUCUGUCCCCAAGUUCGGCGCCACCGCCCCUCACCCCGUCGAGACAUCACGAAGUUCUGGUGUAUACCUACUCCCCUCCGUCGUUCCCCCUCUUCCCCACUUCUGUCUCGGCGGAGGCGGCGGCCUCCCUCCGUUCUCGGCCCACGGAUUGUUCGCGGGCGUUGCGGACAGGCUUGAUAUGGCGAUCGGGAUGAGGGAGGGGCGAAGGAGGCGAUGAGCGCCACGGCUGGUUGUGCUUUGUUGGUUCGCCUGGUCGCAUCCUCCACGACUCACGGCCGGCGACGACCACCUGCGGUUGGAGCCUCCUCUCCAGCCUAGUUCAUCGUCUGUAGUGAAGGUUUUGAGCAGGUAAUCCAAACCUAUGCUAUUCACGUGCUGUCCUUAACAUACCAGAAAGUUCCUAGGCCAGUUCUAGUAGAGGCCAUCAACAUUGAAGGUCUUGCACUGGUCAUGUUUAUGGAGUAGCAUGCUGCAAACUCAGGAUGGGUUAUUGAGAAGGGUUGAUGGUCUCAACUGGUUGUCCUUCCGCGCAAUGAGUUCAAUCACCCCGAGCUGAAGAACACAGCGGACACCGUUCGAGCACAUCACUCGCAUAUUCCCUGUAUUGAGCUGAUUGAACAACCAUGGCCGAAUUGACAUUGAGCACUGGCGUGGUCUUGGUUGCACCCAGACCUCCGGGGAGUUUUUUAGAACAGGGAAUGAAGAAGCUAGUCUUGGCGAUUGUAUUUUCUGUUCAGUCAGUGAUGAUACAGAUUGUUCGUGAUUUCGAUGAGCUAGACCGUCUUAGGUUCCACGACAAGGCUACUCAGGUGGAUGCUAAGAAAAUUGACAUGGAGGAGGAAAAGCUCAUGUUAAUGUUUGAGGUAACAAGACAACGUCUUUUAUAGAUGAUUUGGCAGAGCAGGAUCAGGAUGAAAAGAAGAUCAUGCAACAAUUACGUAACGAAAAGAUUCAAGGUGAUAGAAGAGUUGGAAGCGAAUGUAGCUCGAGGUUCUUAUAGACAAAUUGAUCAAAUUUUCAGUAGCAACCGUUAGUGUAGUCAUCACAUGAGCUCCUGAGUGCCAUGUAAAUAAUGUUGAAUUCAUACUUUCUGUCAUUUUCUCUUGUUUGAGGAGAGCUCAAUCUUACUCAUGUAAUAGUACUAGCAACUUGGUGGUUCUCAGACUAAAGCAAAGUAGCUUUGUAUUUUUUUGGUUCA